UACGGAGGGUGCAAGCGUUAUCCGGAUUUACUGGGUUUAAAGGGUGCGUAGGCGGGUUUUUAAGUCAGUGGUGAAAGCCUCGAGCUCAACUCGAGAAUUGCCAUUGAAACUGAAAACCUUGAGUAUAGUUGAGGUGGGCGGAAUGUGUCAUGUAGCGGUGAAAUGCUCAGAUAUGACAUAGAACACCUAUUGCGAAGGCA
rnacentral:rRNA from 1 species